GCCCUGGUGGCACAGUGGUAAAGCGCUCUGCUCCUAACUGAAAGGUUGGUGUUUCAAACCCACCCAGCGGCU
rnacentral:tRNA from 1 species